rnacentral:rRNA from 1 species
ACUUUCAACAACGGAUCUCUUGGCUCUUGCAUCGAUGAAGAACGCAGCGAAAUGCGAUAAGUAAUGUGAAUUGCAGAAUUCCGUGAAUCAUUAAAUCUUUGAACGCAAAUUGCACUUCUUGGUAUUCCGAGGAGUAUGCUUGCUUGAGGGUUG